UGCCAGCAGCCGCGGUAAUACGUAAGGUGCGAGCGUUAUCCGGAAUCAUUGGGCGUAAAGCGAUCGAAGGCGGGGAAAUAAGUAGAAUAUUAAAUACCUACGGCUCAACCGAGGUGCUGUAUUCUAAACUGUUUCCCUUGAGUAAUGCAGAGGAAGCUGGAAUUUUCAUUGUAGGGGUAAAAUCCGUAGAUAAUGAAAGGAACACCAAAAGCGAAGGCAGGCUUCUGGGCAUUUACUGACGCUGCGCGAUCGAAAGCGUGGGGAGCGAAAGGGAUUAGAUA
rnacentral:rRNA from 1 species